UUAAUAAUACAAUUGAGUGUGAUAUAUUUUAAAGCACGCGACAUUUUGAGGUUGAAGAUUCUAAAAAAUUAUACAGAUACGGAUCGGCAUGUUAAAAAGAGCAUCUAAUAAUGAUAUAUUUAUUUUAA